UGAUAUUUCGAGUUCGAUAGUUGAGGAGUAGAGUAGGAUAGAGUUUCUAUUCAAAUUACUUUCAGUCCCAACUACUAUAUCUAACAUACAAGCAUCCUUACAACCUAUUUUCAAAGUCGGUUUCGAUUGAGUUUGAUUAUCCUUCGAUUCUUGAUUGAUUUUGAUUGAUUCACCACACACUUUAACAUAAAGUAAGCAUGCACAAGUAACACGUAAGGCACACACACACGUAUAAAAGCAUUAAAAUUAUCCCCACUUGAGUUCGAUGAUUGAUUUGAUUAGCUUGAUUAUUGAUUGACUAGCUUUAUUGCAUUGUUACUUCCUAUCAUUCACAGUCGGUCGUUGAUUCACAGUUCGAUUAUCGGCCGAUUAGCUUGAUUAUACAACACUUACUCCAAAUAAUAUGAAAAUCAAAAUGAAACUAAAAUGAAAUUAAUCUUUAUUGAUCUUCAAUUCCAAUAACAGUCAACUCUUGACUUUGACUUUGACUUUUGGAAAAACACGGGGUGUUACAGAUGAGACAUAUAUAGUGAAGAAACCUUUGGGUUCAAAUAUUCAAACCCAAAAACACACUAGGCUUUGUUCAUGAUUAUUUCAUUAGUCUCUUCACUUGAGUAACACCAAAUUUAAUUAUAUGUUUUAUUAAAGCAUGUUCUUUGUCAAUGGUUGGGGCGUUGGGAGAAACAUAGUCUUUAAAAGAAAAUUACGAGACAGCUGUCAUUGUAGAGUUAGUCCACUUGAUAGAGGCAAUUGAUAGUAGUUUGAAAAAAUAAUUAUAAUAAAAAAAGUUAGAAGAGGGGUGCCAUUUUUGGUGGUACAACAACUAAUAAGCAAAAGCAAAACUCAUGGUUUAAUUUUAUACACUUUGAUGUCAACAACAUGGGCCCUUUUAAUCCAUGGGCUUAUGAAAAACAUCUUCAAGGCUUAAAUUUGUCGUAUAUCGUAUUUAUCAAUUUAUUAGCUUAAUAAUAAAAAAAAACAUGUGCAUAAUAUGUAAUCUUUUAAAAAUGUUAUCUUUUGAAUAUGUUUGCAUAUCUUCUUUAAUCAAUUAUGCGUACUUAUUAUCCACCUAAAUAACUAAAUAAGCAAAAGCAAAACUCAUGGUUUAAUUUUAUACAUGUCAACAAUAUGGGCCAUUUUGGUCAAUGGGCUUAUGAAAAACAUCUUCAAGGCUUAAAUUUGUCUUACAUCAUAUUUAUCAAUUUAUCAAUUUAUUAGCUUAAUUAAAAAAAACAUGUGCAUGAUAUAUAAUCUUUUUAAUAUGUUUGCAGGGGAAGGAUCCACUAAAAAGUGAAUUUUGCCUAAGUAGCCUAAGAAGGAUUGUGACGAUGACAUGUGGCACUCCUAAUAAGUAGCAAUGAAGGGCAUUUUGGUCCUUAUAAUUAGGAGUGAAAAUGACAUGUGCCACCCAUUUUGUUUUUUAAAAAUACAACAAAAAAAUCUAGUACAAAAAAAUCUAGCACAAAAAAUCUAGUACGAAAAAUAUAGCACAAAAAAUGUAGUACAAAAAAAUAUAGCAAAAAAAAUGUAGUACAAAAAAUAUAGCACAAAAAAAUCUAGUACAAAAAAUAUACACGAAAAAAUUCAGCAAAAAUUGUAGUACAAAAAAAUUC
rnacentral:lncRNA from 1 species